rfam:Picea glauca, whole genome shotgun sequence.
GGGUCAAGUGGCUGGAAGAGAACCACACGUCUUGCGGUGUCCAGUGCCCCCUCAACGACCAUUGAAAAUCUAGAGGAACGAGUACCAUACAUGCCUGGUCAUACUCAUAAUCGCAUCAGGUCUCCAAGGUGAACAACCUCUGGUCAAAAGAACAAUGU